rnacentral:rRNA from 1 species
UACGUAGGAAGCAAGCGUUGUCCGGAAUCACUGGGCGUAAAGCGCGUGUAGGCGGUAUGGCAAGUCUGCUGUGAAAGCUCUCGGCUUAACCGGGAGAGGUCGGUGGAAACUGCCACACUGGAGGACGGUAGAGGGGGGUGGAAUUCCCGGUGUAGUGGUGAAAUGCGUAGAGAUCCGGAGGAACCCCAGAGGCGAAGGCGGCCUGCUGGGCUGCACCUGACGCUGAACCGCGAAAGCCAGGGAGCGAACGGG